rfam:Gossypium raimondii Chr08_contig_691, whole genome shotgun sequence.
ACUUGGUGCUAAGAACAAUUCUUUUGCAUAUCAUUGAAUUGUUCCCAUGCCUUAUGUAAUGUUUCCUCUUGAUACUAUUGGAAACUAGUGAUAUCGUUCCACAAAUU